rnacentral:rRNA from 1 species
UACAGAGGUCUCAAGCGUUGUUCGGAUUCAUUGGGCGUAAAGGGUGCGUAGGCGGCGCGGUAAGUCGGAUGUGAAAUCUCGGAGCUUAACUUGGGAAUGGCAUUGGAAACUGGCGGGCUGGAGUGCGGCAGGAGGGGGGUGGAAUUCCACGUGUAGCAGUGAAAUGCGUAGAGAUGUGGAGGAACACCGAUGGCGAAGGCAGCCCCCUGGGCCGACACUGACGCUCAGGCACGAAAGCCAGGGGAGCAAACGGG